ACACGAUGGCACUGCAAGAAUUCAUUCACUCGUUGUGGGAAUCCGAGGAUGAGGUAGGUGAGUUUUAACCUGUUAUGCCGACACUACAGGGAUCCUCUUCCUUUUAUAUGCUAUGCUAUGCUUCUGCUCCAUGCGCAAGCACACUCUCUCUGGCCUCCUCUUGUGCUCUCUAAGUCUCUAAGAACACAGAGAAAGAAAAACUCACUAGACACUUUCACUCGUCAUUUAGGGCGAUUUAGAGUUGGAUUUUAAAUAUGUUGAAGUUGAAGAAAAGAAGGUCAAGUCAUUUAGAGCUUCAGGAUUAGGAUUUACCUAGCGAAGUGAACUACGAAGUUGAAGAUCAAGGUAAAAUAAUUCAUCUUAGUAGCAAACAAGGAGGAGAUGACGUGAUUGAAGAAUUUGUGUUUCGAUCUUCGCCGUCCUUUUUGAGGUUAUGGCUGAAGUGCCAGUGCUUUUGCAGGGGCCCCAUGACGUCAGCCACCGUUAUCACCUAUUCUUGAACACAAAUAAUGAUGAUGACCCUCGGACUUUCAGACUUCGAACCGUAAAGAACACAUGGUCAAUACACGAUUCUUUCAUUCCACACCUUGAGGCUUAUGGACUACAUGGUUAUGCUAGGCUCACAUCAUCCGAAGACCAAUUACGUUCGGAUCCAUCCCUUUUGACAUCCCUCGUUGACCGGUGGAGACCUGAAACCCACACCUUUCACUUUCGUAUUGGGGAGCUUGCACCUGCACUGAAAGAUGUUUCUAUAAUCACUGCUCUACCAAUUAGAGGUGAGCAGUUAGUCUCUCCGUCAGUGACUCCAUCUUGGGCAUUAAAUAUCUCAGCCCGUAUUAGGAUGACAAUUCCAGAAUCACAAUGUUCUGGUGGCCCUCAGGGCGUCCCACUCGCCUGGCUUCGUGCAAACUUUCAUGGUUUAUCUAACCAGCUGAUUCUGAGACGAGGAAAAGGCAUAUGUUUGCAUAUUUGUUGUGGCUCCUCGGGACUAUGUUUCCAAAUUCACACGGGGACGUAGUUCUCCCUGGUCUCAUCUACUUUGUAGAGAAUAUGGUAGAUGAAUCUUUACCUCAGCAUCCAAAAUACAGCUUCGGUUCUGCCAUGCUAUGUCAUACAUAUAGAGGCUUGUGUGAUGCCACACAAAAAACUUCAUUCACAGAAAAAGCUCCGUUACUUUGUGUCGCCUACGAGUUUCUACAGUUGUGGUACUGGGAAUACCUCGUUGAUGACCCCGUAUACUAAAUCCCAUACACCCAUACAACUGUAGCGAGGGCAAUGUAACAAUGGCCAGCAGGUUGACAAAGGCACGGAAAAAAUGGUCUCCAAAUAUUGCAAAAUGUUGUUACCCUAUAUACCACCAACAUUUUGAGAUGCUUGAUGAGUCACUAGUCACAUGGAACCCGUAGACUCAGGAGCAGUUACAGAUGGUCUUCGAAAUAUGACCCAUCACAGCAGGAUGCGUGAGCGAUAGUGCAUUCUGGCUGACUCGCUGCAACUUAUUGUUCAUGUGGUGUGUUGAGCCUUAGAACCCAGAGCGUGUCAUGAGACAGUUCGGUCUCUAUCAGGAUAUUCCACCACCUUUUCCAAGAUGUGUCGACGAGGAAACCCAUAAGUAAGAUGUGACCUCCCUAAAUAGUUAGUAUCUUUUUUAAUUUACUAAACUGACACUUUGUUACAUAAUUUGCAGGCUGAGCAAUAUGGGCAAGGGUGAUUACGAUUGGAGGGCACACAACAUUGAAUGGGUACACAAGUGGGAAAAUGAAGUGUUAGAAGAUAUAGUGCAUCAACUUAGGUAAAUUCUAUUUAGAGUAUUUUCUAAUGAUGACCAUAUGGUCCGUCAAGAUGCUUCGCAUUUUGCGAUCUACAGAAUUAAAUAAUUAUAUCAACCUUUGAGAUGAAAGCAAAGCAUCUUCACGCAUCGUAUGGUCAUCAUUAUAAAAUUAUGUAAAUAAAAUUUACCUAAGUUGAUGCACUAUAUCUUCCGGCACUUCAUUUCCCACUUGUGUUCCCAUUCGAUGUUGUGUGCCCUCCAAUCGUAACCACCCUUGCCCAUAUUGCUCAGCCUGCAAAUUAUGUAACAAAGUGUCAAUUUAGUAUAUUAAAGAAGACACUAACUAUUUAGGGAGGUCACAUCUUACUUAUGGGUUUCCUCAUCGAUACAUCUUGGAAAAGGUGGUGGAAUAUUCUGAUAGAGACCAAACUGUCUCAUGACACGCUCUGGGUUGUAAGGCUCAACACAUCACAGGAACAAUAAGUGGCAGCUAGUCAACCAGAAUGCACUAUCGCUCACGCAUCCUGUUGUGAUGGGUCGUAUAUCGAAGACCAUCUAUAACUGCUCUUGAGUCCACGGGUUUCAUGUGACUAGUGACUCAUCAAGCAUCUCAAACUGCUGGUGGUAUAUAGGGUAACAACAUUUCGCAAUGUUUGAAGACCAUUUUUUCCGUGCC